CUAGAGCCAGACAAAUUGGCAGAAGCUUUCCAGAGCAGAAAUAUUCACUGGCUCCAGCAGUGAAGAUGUACCUUCACCAACUAAGUUUGUUCUUUUGAAGCCUGUGAGUGAGUGGCUCAGCUGGACAGAGGAAACAGCCACUUCUCGUAUUAGGAUGCUUUGUGGCUCAAUGUCAGUGGCACGUCUCUGUCUACAAGUCAGAUAGAGCUGCAGCGAUGGCGGAGGAGGAGGUCAGCUACGCUUCAGUUGUUUUCAAACCUAACAAAAAUCCUCCACAUCAAGCUAAAAAGGUGGAGGAGACUGUGUACGAUGAAGUGAAGACACAGAGAGAAACAACAGAACAAACUGCUGCCACCAACAGUAAGUCGGAAAGUACAUUGUACAUACAUCCUGGUAUUACUGUAACUGGGAACAUUUCUAAUAUUAUGGCUACAACUACUACUGUUUCAUUACCAUGAUAACUAGGAACAGAAAGGAUCUCUUUUCAGGAGGAGUGCUGCUCAGCCUGGGAAACAGUUGGACACUAUAUCUGCUCUGCACAGG